rnacentral:rRNA from 1 species
UACGUAGGGUGCGAGCGUUGUCCGGAAUUAUUGGGCGUAAAGGGCUCGUAGGCGGUUUGUCGCGUCGGGAGUGAAAACCCAGGGCUUAACCCUGGGCUGGCUUCCGAUACGGGCAGACUAGAGGUAUGCAGGGGAGAACGGAAUUCCUGGUGUAGCGGUGAAAUGCGCAGAUAUCAGGAGGAACACCGGUGGCGAAGGCGGCCUGCUGGGCAGUGGCUGACACUGAGGCGCGACAGCGUGGGGAGCAAACAGG